rnacentral:rRNA from 1 species
UACGUAGGGUGCAAGCGUUGUCCGGAAUUAUUGGGCGUAAAGAGCUCGUAGGCGGCUUGUCGCGUCGUCCGUGAAAACCUGCGGCUCAACUGCAGGCUGGCGGUCGAUACGGGCAGGCUGGAGUUCGGUAGGGGAGACUGGAAUUCCUGGUGUAGCGGUGAAAUGCGCAGAUAUCAGGAGGAACACCAGUGGCGAAGGCGGGUCUCUGGGCCGAUACUGACGCUGAGGAGCGAAAGCGUGGGGAGCGAACAGG